rnacentral:rRNA from 1 species
UGCAAGUCGAGGGGUAACGGAAGUAGCUUGCUACUAGACGACGACCGGCGCACGGGUGAGUAACGCGUAUGUAAUCUGCCUUGUACAGAGGGAUAGCCCAGAGAAAUUUGGAUUAAUACCUCAUAGUAUUACUGAAUCGCAUGAUUCGGUAAUUAAAGCUCCGGCGGUACAAGAUGAACAUGCGUGACAUUAGCUAGUUGGUAAGGUAACGGCUUACCAAGGCAACGAUGUCUAGGGGUUCUGAGAGGAUGAUCCCCCACACUGGUACUGAGACACGGACCAGACUCCUACGGGAGGCAGCAGUGAGGAAUAUUGGUCAAUGGACGCAAGUCUGAACCAGCCAUCCCGCGUGAAGGAUGACUGCCCUAUGGGUUGUAAACUUCUUUUAUAUGCAAAUAAACCUACUUUCGUGAAAGUAGCUGAAGGUAGCAUAUGAAUAAACACC